GGAAAAUAGGGAUGUGGCCUCUUAUUUUUGAGGUGGCCUGUAGGCAGUGAGUGCUCCAUGUGAAUUAAAAUAGGAAUUUUCUGUUUGGCACUGUAUCAACAUAUUAAGAUCUUACAACUUUUUUUCUUACUCAUAAUAAAGUGUCAGUUUUGGAAUGUAUUUAACUCUAACCGCUAUGAUUUGUCAGCAGAAAUUAUUACUACAUCCCAAGAUGUUACUUUUGUCUUUUUGGCACUCAGAAUUUGUUUUGCUGGAGUAUUUGUUCCUUGACUCUGUACCACAUUUAAUUUUGAGACAUAGGCUGAAUUUGCAGACCUGCUUCUUAGAGGGAGCUUUUUUAUAACUAUAAACUGAGCAUGUAUAAUGUAGAAAUUCAGUCUAAAAUCAUAUAAUCUCUGCAGUACUGUUUCUGCAGUAGUUUGUCAGAAUCUCUUUAUUGUUCCUACCUUGCUGAGACUACUACGAGAGAGCAAAGUGCAGCUGAUAUCAGCAUUUUGUAGGGACUUUUGUCUCACUAGAGUAUUCUGUUCUCAUGCUUUAAAGAUAAUGAAGUGAGUCAUUGUCUUUACAUCUCAGGUGAUUUAUUAUAGACAUAUAUCUCUAAUGCUUUCUGAGAAAAAAAACAUCUUUUGUUCAGACUGGUGGCUUUGAACUAGUAGGCUGGUUGAGAGUUUGCUUAACUAGGGAGUUGCUUUGAUUUAUUUUUUUAAUCUAUAUACUGAACACACUUCAGCAGACAAUGGAGCUCACAGGAGCUUUUUGGUGAUUUAUUUUUAUAGGUAUAGUGCUUUGGCAUCAAGGAAGAAUAGAUUCAUCAACACCUUUUAAUCUAUGUAGAUAUGUCAGUGGUUCUAUUUUCCUCCUGAAAAAGACUUAUCUGCACGGGAUGCAGGUUGGUUGCUCUGAUGGAGUAGUAGACUGGGCAUCUUGAAGAAGAAAGGUCAACUUCUGAAGCUUUGAGAGUAUAGCAAACUUCCUAGGCUGAGCAUCAACACAGACCAUGUGUUAACAUCUCCAACCCAUUCUAUCAUUAGCAUUUCAUAUACUUAUUUAUUAUCUAGUUCAACUUUUGCUGUGAGGAAUGCAAAGCUGAGUUAUAACAAGUAGAAUAAAAGGAAAACUAAGUUUCUGAACUGAAAAAGAAGCACUGAAUAUCCGGAGUUGGAAGGAAUCUACAAGGAUCCUUGAGACCAUCUACUGACAUCUUCCUUCGCCUAGCUGGCGGUGCUAGGUCUGAGGCACCCCAAAAAGUUGGGAAGGAUUUAAGUUAGGUAGGGCAGAACAAUGAGGAAUUAUAGGAAGCCCCAGUACACGACUGAAUAGCUAGUUUUCCCCCAGUUUUUACUUUUGUAAAUUGUUCUUGCUUUUCCACAAUGUAAUAGACUGUGACGGCUACUCAGGAGCAAAAAUUUAGAGUUUUAUAGUGUUCAGCAGGAGUUUAUUAAAUAUUAAAGAGUAAGAACAAAAAUAGCAAACAGAAGACAACUUUAUGCUCCUGUUUCAAAUAAUGGCAGUGGCUUUGCCCUUUGCUUGGAUACUGAUUGUAAGCAAUUCUCUGUUCCUAUUGUCUUGGAAAGGAUAUGGUAGGACUUGGAAAGGGCCUGAGGCUAGUGACAGAGGUGAUCUAAAGCAUGGCAUAGCUUCCAUAGCAAGAAUGACUGAGUGGGCUGGGACUCCUCAGCCUGGGAGAGACGAUUUAAAGCGGAUACUAGAUGUUUACUGGAUCUGAAGUGGCAAGAAGCAGCUGGAUGGGAACUGACUGUUCACUGUCUCUUCCAGUGCUAUACAAGCUCAGGCUUACAAUUGAAGCUGUUAGGAGUUAGCUUCAAAGCAAACAAAAGGAGGUGAUGGUUCUUGCAGUGCAUGUUAGGUCAGGGAAAGUUCUUGCUCAAGGAUGUUGUGUCUGCAAAAAGAUAAAGGGUGGAAAAAAAAGGAGACUGAGCAAAUAUCUGAAAGGUGUUUUGAGAGUAACCAAAGGACAAGUUAUGUCAGGCUUGGGAUGUUCACAAAGCUGAUAAUUGAAGCAGAAAGAGUUGCAAGGGAGUAUUCUGUACUACCUCUCCCUUGGCAUUUGCUUGUGGGCACCACUGGAGACAGGAUAAUGCACUAUAUAAUCCUGAAUGGUCUUAUUGCCAGAUAGUACCUUUCUGAUAGAUUUAAUGUAGUUGCUUUAUCACUGUUGCGUGAUUUUCUUUUCUGUAUGGGAUUCAUUUUCCAGAAGUUGUCUCUGCCUUCUGUGUAAGCUGGUCUAGACUCCCUCUGUAGGCAACAGAAAGCAAUAGCUGUGACGAGUUAUCUUUUGAAGGUGCCUGUUUCUCUCUGACCAGUGAGAACAGACAGGCUUGAUAGCUUGCAUGUCCUCUGGAUGGUGGCCAACAGACAGCCACAGUACCAGAGACUUUGUUUUGACCUGCCACUGGUGGGAAGCCUGCAUACCGCAGGCAUCUGUCAGGGUAAAUGGAUGACUAAAGAAGUUAUUGCACGUUGUACUGACCUAAGACUUAUUUCUUGAGGGACAUGAUUUUUCCCCCUAUACAAUGUGCCCCAGUCCUUAACGAGUAUUUCUGGAUAUUGCUAUUAAUGAAUCAGCUUUGACUUUCUGGUGAAUUUCAGAUAAAUGCUUCUAGACUUUAGCAUGUCAUCCGCUCCUUUUGAAUGUUACGAACAACAAACAUCUGCAAGCAACUGUGAGAGCAAGCAGUACUACCAGCCAGCACCUGCCUGUUCAGCUGCAACAUCUUGCCAGAGAUUCAUACUCCCACCAAGUGAGUGCUUCUGGAAUCCAGCAGUCGUGUCUUCUGGAACAAGGAACAGAAAAUGAUGAAACCAGAAGCAGGGCUACAGUUGUUUCUGAAGAUGUACCUGGAGAGCUGCUGGAUUCACAACCUGUUUUACAUGACCAUGUAGAAGAUGUUAACAUCUUUUAUCUCAAGACAGGAAAUAAUGAAGGAAAAAUAUUUGACUUCAUUGUGAGCUCCGAGUGCAGUUUUGAUGGCUUCAGUACUGAGGAUGUGCAUGUUAAGCAGUAGAGAGGAACAGACUGCAAUACCAGGUUCUUCAAAGAAGAUCUGUACUGCAGAUAGAGGUGGAGAAGAGAGUUAUGAUGGGAAGGGCAGUGGCUUCCCAUGGGCAGACCUGACAUGCUGUUACCUUUCCUGUCUACAAGAUAAGUCUACUCAUCUGAUGACUCAAGUCAUAUGACAAACCGCUGUAGCACCCACUCUACAGAACUGUAGUCAGUCCAGAUACAUUCCUCAUUUGGAAUGUGCACUUUUGCAAUAUUUGGAGAAAGAGGAAGAAAAUGAAGACAAAAGUUACUAACAGAAGACAAAUAUGAAAUUUCAUCUGAUGCUGAAGGAGCAAGUAUAGUUACCUCUUCUUGCAAUGAGCCAACAAUGCAGGUCAGCAUUUCAGUGACCUCUGCUCCUGUGCAAGAAAAUACUACUCCUAACAGAAGUAAGGAAAUUAUUGUUCAGAGUAGACAAAAAGCAUUAAUAUGACAAAUAAAUUUGAUAGUUGGUAUACAUUAAAAGUUGCUGUGUUGAUAGAAAUGGAUGUUAUCUGGAUGCUUAUGUGAAAAUACUUGUCACAGUGACUGCAUCUCAAACCUAAAAUACUCCUAAAACUUGUGGCCUAAUACUUUCACCCUAACAGCUUCCUCCAUGGGACGUUUUAAAGCAAUCUUAAUUAUUAACAAUCUGUUAAAUAGGGAUUCUGAUGCUGUAGUUCAAGAGCCAAUGACUUUUGAAAAGCUGUGUUGCUGACUUAGUGAAAGAUACUGUCAGUGAUCACUGCACUCACAGCAUCUGUACUCCAUGACUGCAGAUCUCAUAGAUCAAUUUGGUGCUAGUUUGGUAGCAACUGUUAUAUCAUAAACAAAAUUUUAAGUGUAUGCUUAGGCUAUUUCCUGUACUAUUUUGGAUCAUAAAAAUUAAAUUAAGAUGCAAAGAAAAUUGUGUUUUUCCUAGAGGUAGCAAAAGUCUUUCAGCCUGAUCUGAGUGAUACUUCAAAUUAGCAGAAACACUUAGACUUGCAGGCUGCUAUUCAUUGUCUUAAAUAUUUGCAGUGUGAAGGCCUUCCAAGCCAGUGCAUUUAGUUGAAGCAUGGUGUUUAUUCUGCAGCAUUGAUCUGUCUCGCUGUUGAAGGAAAACAUGCCAGAGCAGGACAAAAGAAGAUAUGGCUUUAUACUGCCAAAUUGACCGUGCUUGUUAAAGUGUAACUCUUGUCACUGAGUGUUCUGUGGUGUGGGGGAUUAUUUUUUAUUUUUUUUUUUACUGAGCUUUCAGUAGUUGUAUCUUGUUCCCGCACAAUCUGGCCUGAAGCUACUAUACUGUGGCCAGAAUAUUUCUAGGACACAAUCAGGGCCAUUGUUUUUGUUUGUUUUGUUACUAUUUUUCUCAAGUUUUCCUAAAGCUGUCUGAAGUCCAAAAGAUCUUUUUUUCAUCUUUCAGGCUGUGAAGAUUGUGUAGCUGUUUUUCUGUUUCUCAGAAAAUGGCUAACAAGAACUCUCCUUUGAUAAUCCAAAAAAAGAACUUUCAAACGCAGGUUUUCAAGUCAGGUGGUAAUUUCUUAAGAAAGUUGUAAGUACGUAGCACACUAAUUCAGUCUCAGCAAAAACAAAUGGGCUUGAACAGACUAUUGAGACAGUGUGUACUUCUGCUAUCCCUGAAUCCAUAAAUAUUUCUGCUUAUUCUGCAGCUGCUCAGAUACUGAGCGUAAUUGAGUAGCCAUCACUUCACCGUGCAAAUCAGGGUGACUGUGUAGAUCAGUUGUUUUAUCCCCUUCGUAUUUUCUGUCACCAAGGAACAGUGCUGUGUUGCAUCUUUUUUCUCACUGAAGAAAAAUUCCAUGAAAUUCUGUUCAUAUAAUGUUAUAGUUGCUUAAGAUCAAAGUCAUUAUUAACAUCUGUGGGCUUUGUGCUUGCAAAACAACUUAUUUGUUUGUGUUUUGUUUUUAUAUUUACUGGUGACUUUUCUCUUUUCCCCAUAAAGGCUAAAGGUCUGUAGUUAAAUGUGAUUGUCAUCGAAGUUCUGCAAAGACCUUUGCCAGCAUGUACCCACCUGAGGGGCUCUUCUGGACGGUGUGAAGAUAUAAACCUUCUCUGUUGUGUCAUAACAGCAGUUAAAAGAAAGAUGUGAUGUAGCAUUAAGGAGCAGCAAUGCUCGUUAUCUGAGGGGCUGUAGUGAAGUACAAAAUCAGAUAGUAAAUCGCACUAGUAAAUUAGAAAUAGUAGUAAAUCCAAGCUAAAGAUCACAGACUUCAGUAGGAUACAAGAUCUAUUAUACAUCUAUCCUUGCUUUUUUCUUUUUUGUAGCCCUAGAUAAAGUAUCUUGCUUAGAAGGAUGGUAUGAAAUUCAAAACGUGAGCAGGCUGUUUCAGGAACUCAUAGUCUAUGGAUAAAAGUCACGAUUUCUGGGGUGUGGUUAAUUUCUUUCUAAGGUUGACUUCAAGAGCAGACCUGCUGAAUUGCAAGUCUUCCUCUUCAACUGUAAAGGAGAAAGGUAUGUAAAUAAGUAAAAUUAGGUGAGGUGCCCCCCUUCACACAGUGGGGUGUAUCUGCUCUAACUUUGGCUAGUUAGUUAGAUCUCAAGAUGAGAGAGCCUUCCUGUGUAGAAAGUGUAAAGAAUAGAGUAUUAUAGAGAAGAAUAGCUAGUCCAUGUGACUAGCUAACAGAAAUAAUGUUAAAUCAGAAUUUUCCACUUCUGCAUUGAGUUAUACAGGUACUUCUCAAACUGUGUUAACACAGUGACUUUGCUAUAGCACAGAGAUAAGGGAACUACCGCUUUGGGUAACUGGUUAUAAUACAAUGUCUGUAGUCUUGUGGAUGGCCAAAAUGGCUACUAAGCAUGUAACAAAUAUAUAUUUAUUUUUUUCCAGUCAAACUGAACCUCCAGUAUCAGUUAUGGUGGUUUCAUUCAUUAAGCUCAAGUUUUCUCUUGUUUGGAAUGGCUAAGCCAUGCUCGUGCUACACUGGAAGUUUGAAAAUUGGCAAUCCCUAGAAUAACUUCUGUAAAGCUUUUAUUAAUAGCAUUCAGCAUUUAGUUAAUAGUAUUCAGACAGUAGUGUUAGAACCCUACCACAAAAAUAAAAAAUGGCAUAGGAGGUGGGGAAAAAGAUCUAUUCUUGCGUAGACCCAUACAACUGAAAUAAUCUCACAUAUAAAUGAUGGAAAAGUGCCAGUAAAUAACAGAAAUAUCCAUGGAGACCACCUAAACCCAAAUCUAAAUGACAGAGGUGAUAUAUUCUGCUGUUCUUUGUGCUUAUGAGGGAAAACAUCCUGUGCAUUUACAGCAGUUAAGAUUACCAGGCAGCUGUAAAAUUCUGCAUAUAUUCGGUUAUCUCAGAUCUUUUAACAUUUUUAGAAAGAAGCCCUGAACUGAGCUCUUCAUUCACUUGGGAUUCAUCCAUAAGAAGCUCUAUUUGUCAUUACUGCAUUUCAUAAUAUUUGUUUUUGUUUGGCUGUUUUGAUGAUAAAGUAACAAAAUAACUUCUUACUGGGCUAUUUGCACAAUAAAAAUAAUCACAGAA